CUUCGGGACCUCGCGCUACAGGGGCGGCCGAUGGCAGAUUAGCUAGUUGGUGGGGUAAAGGCCUACCAAGGCGACGAUCUGUAGCUGGUCUGAGAGGACGACCAGCCACACUGGGACUGAGACACGGCCCAGACUCCUACGGGAGGCAGCAGUGGGGAAUUUUGGACAAUGGGCGCAAGCCUGAUCCAGCAAUGCCGCGUGUGUGAAGAAGGCCUUCGGGUUGUAAAGCACUUUUGUCCGGAAAGAAAACCUCAGCCCUAAUACGGCGGGGGGAUGACGGUACCGGAAGAAUAAGCACCGGCUAACUACGUGCCAGCAGCCGCGGUAAUACGUAGGGUGCAAGCGUUAAUCGGAAUUACUGGGCGUAAAGCGUGCGCAGGCGGUCCGCUAAGACAGAUGUGAAAUCCCCGGGCUUAACCUGGGAACUGCAUUUGUGACUGGCGGG
rnacentral:rRNA from 1 species